ACACAUGCAAGUCGAACGAGAGAGAGGAAGCUUGCUUCCUCAAUCGAGUGGCGAACGGGUGAGUAACGCGUGAGGAACCUGCCUCAAAGAGGGGGACAACAGUUGGAAACGGCUGCUAAUACCGCAUAAGCCCACAGGUCGGCAUCGACCAGAGGGAAAAGGAGCAAUCCGCUUUGAGAUGGCCUCGCGUCCGAUUAGCUAGUUGGUGAGGUAAUGGCCCACCAAGGCAACGAUCGGUAGCCGGACUGAGAGGUUGAACGGCCACAUUGGGACUGAGACACGGCCCAGACUCCUACGGGAGGCAGCAGUGGGGAAUAUUGCACAAUGGGGGAAACCCUGAUGCAGCGACGCCGCGUGGAGGAAGAAGGUCUUCGGAUUGUAAACUCCUGUUGUUGAGGAAGAUAAUGACGGUACUCAACAAGGAAGUGACGGCUAACUACGUGCCAGCAGCCGCGGUAAAACGUAGGUCACAAGCGUUGUCCGGAAUUACUGGGUGUAAAGGGAGCGCAGGCGGGAAGACAAGUUGGAAGUGAAAUCUAUGGGCUCAACCCAUAAACUGCUUUCAAAACUGUUUUUCUUGAGUAGUGCAGAGGUAGGCGGAAUUCCCGGUGUAGCGGUGGAAUGCGUAGAUAUCGGGAGGAACACCAGUGGCGAAGGCGGCCUACUGGGCACCAACUGACGCUGAGGCUCGAAAGUGUGGGUAGCAAACAGGAUUAGAUACCCUGGUAGUCCACACCGUAAACGAUGAUUACUAGGUGUUGGAGGAUUGACCCCUUCAGUGCCGCA
rnacentral:rRNA from 1 species